AUGCUAGAUGGGGAGUUAGCGGUGCCCUGUAACCUGCAAUCCGCUAUAGCAGGGUUGAAUUCCUUGCUUAGGUUUUUAUCUUGUAUGGUCUGGCCUAUAUAAGUGAUGUUGAUAAUUGGGUCCCACGCAAUGAAAACUCAUGAACCUCGUCAGGUCUGGAAGGAAGCAGCGAUAAGUGAGACCUUUCAUGUGCCGUGGAUCAACCUGGUUUGAGUUAACUGUAUAGGUAACGCAUAUGAGAUAAUUAUCGAAGCAAGGUGCAUG
rnacentral:SRP_RNA from 1 species